rnacentral:ncRNA from 1 species
ACGGGCCAUGACUGAACAAAGUACUUUCUACGUACUUGCUUAGAUGCCAACUAUGUUAAACCCUCUCCUUUUAGUUUUUGUCCUGAGAUUUUUAUGUUUCACUCUUCUAUGUAUCAUGUUUUGGGGUGGACUGGUCACUGAGGUCAACGACAGAUGCUCUCCCCCACGUCUCUCUUCAAGGAGAUGAGGGAGAGAGAGAAACUAGGCCAUGAUUAAGAGGGACAGCUGGGGGCAUUCGUAUUGUGCCACUAGAAAUGAAAUUCUUGGACCAUCGCAAGACGGCCUAGAGCAAAAGCAUUUUCCAAGAAACUUUUCAUUAUUCAAGAACAAAAGUCAGAGGUUUGAAGAUGAUCAGAUACUGUUGUAGUUCCUUCUAAACUCCAAAGUCUCUUUCUGUUUCUCCCUCUGCUCCUUGAAGACAGAGGUGCGGGAGAGCAUCUAUUGUUUG